rnacentral:pre_miRNA from 1 species
AGGAGGAACAGCAACAGUGGUGGCGGCCAGCUCCCCAGCCCUGGAGUCAGCUCCCGCAGUAACUACAGAGCUCUCAGUCCGCCAGGGCCUGGAUGCUCCGUGGGGCG